ACAGAUCGUUCAGAGUUUUGUAUCCUGGCUCAGAUUUGAACGCUGGCGGCAUGCCUUACACAUGCAAGUCGAACGGCAACAGGUCUUCGGACGCUGACGAGUGGCGAACGGGUGAGUAAUACAUCGGAACGUGCCCAGUCUGGGGGAUAACUACUCGAAAGAGUAGCUAAUACCGCAUACGAUCUGAGGAUGAAAGCGGGGGACCUUCGGGCCUCGCGCGAUUGGAGCGGCCGAUGGCAGAUUAGGUAGUUGGUGGGAUAAAAGCUUACCAAGCCGACGAUCUGUAGCUGGUCUGAGAGGACGACCAGCCACACUGGGACUGAGACACGGCCCAG
rnacentral:rRNA from 1 species